rnacentral:rRNA from 1 species
UACGUAGGGGGCAAGCGUUGUUCGGAAUUACUGGGCGUAAAGGGCGCGUAGGCGGCGGGGUAAGUCUGGUGUGAAAUCUCGGAGCUCAACUCCGAAAUUGCACUGGAUACUGCUCUGCUAGAGGGCUGGAGAGGAGAUCGGAAUUCACGGUGUAGCAGUGAAAUGCGUAGAUAGCGUGAGGAAGACCAGUGGCGAAGGCGGAUCUCUGGACAGCUCCUGACGCUGAGGCGCGAAGGCUAGGGGAGCAAACGGG